rnacentral:rRNA from 1 species
UACGUAGGGGGCUAGCGUUGUCCGGAAUCAUUGGGCGUAAAGAGCUCGUAGGCGGUUCGUCGCGUCGGCUGUGAAAACCUGAGGCUCAACCUCAGGCCUGCAGUCGAUACGGGCGGACUUGAGUACUGCAGGGGAGACUGGAAUUCCUGGUGUAGCGGUGAAAUGCGCAGAUAUCAGGAGGAACACCGGUGGCGAAGGCGGGUCUCUGGGCAGUAACUGACGCUGAGGAGCGAAAGCGUGGGGAGCGAACAGG